rnacentral:lncRNA from 1 species
CAAAAUAUUGGAUCCAUUAUCACCCAACUUAAUGGGAGGCUAUGACCUAGUUAUCCCCAUAACCAUUUCAUUUUAAGGACCUAAUAAUUUUAGAGGAUUUCUUAAUUAGGAUAAAUAAGAAAAUCCGGUUAGUCUAAUUUCUCCCACUGACUUCACCAAAUCAAAUUAGACUCAAACCGGUUAAGGAUGCACCUAAAUCAGUCAAACUGUUUUUCCUUAUAGGCAUGGGCUAACUCGAAUCAUUAAGUGAUCCAAUCAAAAUGUGAUUGACCAUGUCGGCCAGGUAAGUGAGAUCGGUGGAAGGAAUAUGCCAUUAACUCGACAAAGACGAAUCAGUGCGAAUAGCUCUCAAUUAAAAACCACCGGUCAAAACUGCCAAACUUACCUUAGACACUGACUGGUUAAUCAAUUUUG